rnacentral:rRNA from 1 species
GAUUGAACGCUGGCGGCAUGCCUUACACAUGCAAGUCGAACGGCAGCACGGGAGCAAUCCUGGUGGCGAGUGGCGAACGGGUGAGUAAUGUAUCGGAACGUACCUUUCAGUGGGGGAUAACGUAGCGAAAGUUGCGCUAAUACCGCAUAUUCUGUGCGCAGGAAAGCAGGGGAUCGCAAGACCUUGCGCUGAUUGAGCGGCCGAUAUCAGAUUAGCUAGUUGGUGAGGUAAAGGCUCACCAAGGCGACGAUCUGUAGCGGGUCUGAGAGGAUGAUCCGCCACACUGGAACUGAGACACGGUCCAGACUCCUACGGGAGGCAGCAGUGGGGAAUUUUGGACAAUGGGGGCAACCCUGAUCCAGCCAUGCCGCGUGAGUGAAGAAGGCCUUCGGGUUGUAAAGCUCUUUCGGCCGGGAAGAAAUCGCAUGGGUUAAUACCCUGUGCGGAUGACGGUACCGGCAUAAGAAGCACCGGCUAACUACGUGCCAGCAGCCGCGGUAAUACGUAGGGUGCGAGCGUUAAUCGGAAUUACUGGGCGUAAAGCGUGCGCAGGCGGUUUUGUANNNCAGGCGUGAAAUCCCCGGGCUCAACCUGGGAACUGNGCUUGUGACUGCAAGGCUAGAGUAUGGCAGAGGGGGGUGGAAUUCCACGUGUAGCAGUGAAAUGCGUAGAGAUGUGGAGGAACACCAAUGGCGAAGGCAGCCCCCUGGGCCAAUACUGACGCUCAUGCACGAAAGCGUGGGUAGCAAACAGGAUUAGAUACCCUGGUAGUCCACGCCCUAAACGAUGUCAACUAGGUGUUGGGUGGGUAAAACCAUUUAGUACCGGAGCUAACGCGUGAAGUUGACCGCCUGGGGAGUACGGCCGCAAGGUUAAAACUCAAAGGAAUUGACGGGGACCCGCACAAGCGGUGGAUGAUGUGGAUUAAUUCGAUGCAACGCGAAAAACCUUACCUACCCUUGACAUGUCCAGGAGCCUGAAGAGAUUUGGGUGUGCCCGAAAGGGAACUGGAACACAGGUGCUGCAUGGCUGUCGUCAGCUCGUGUCGUGAGAUGUUGGGUUAAGUCCCGCAACGAGCGCAACCCUUGUCGUUAAUUGCCAUCAUUCAGUUGGGCACUUUAACGAGACUGCCGGUGACAAACCGGAGGAAGGUGGGGAUGACGUCAAGUCCUCAUGGCCCUUAUGGGUAGGGCUUCACACGUCAUACAAUGGUCGGUACAAAGGGUCGCCAACCCGCGAGGGGGAGCCAAUCCCAGAAAGCCGAUCGUAGUCCGGAUCGUAGGCUGCAACUCGCCUGCGUGAAGUCGGAAUCGCUAGUAAUCGUGGAUCAGCAUGUCACGGUGAAUACGUUCCCGGGUC